CAAGAUUUCUCUAUUUUUGUCUUCCAGUGCGACUUUCCAAACAUACGGAGAUGGUGGGCUCUUAUUCUUCUGGAGAACUUUGGGGUUUUCUCUGAAAGUGCAGAAACCCUACAAGAGUCCCUUCCAUGUGAAGAACAAGCUACGCUUAGCAGCAGUGAGGCGGAGCUCCCAAUAAUCCGGCACAUGAAAGAAGCUGUGAAAUGGCUCCAUUCCAACAGCCAUCUGCUCAGGGGUCCAGUGGAAGAGCCUCUUUUCAUUCGAAUGAAUGAAGACGACAAGAAAAAGGC